rnacentral:ncRNA from 2 species
UUUUUAUCAAGAAAGACGGAGGGACUGGCCCUGUGAUGUCUAGCAACCUGAAUUUUAUACUUUAAAUUUAAGGUGCUAAUUCCUGCAGAUGUUAAAUCUGAAAGAUAAGAA